rnacentral:rRNA from 1 species
UAAUUGAUAUUGGCUCUGAGGUGUGUACACAUCGCCCGUCGCUCUCAUUAUUGAAUUAUUUGCUUUAAUAUUAAUAUUUGAAUUGGGCAUGAUUCAAAUUAGAUGAGAUAAGUCGUAACAUAGUAGAUGUACUGGAAAGUGUAUCUAGUAAGAGGUU